rnacentral:rRNA from 1 species
UACGAAGGGUGCAAACGUUGCUCGGAAUCACUGGGCGUAAAGGGUGCGUAGGUGGCUAUCUAAGUCGGGAGUGAAAGCCCUCAGCUCAACUGAGGAAUUGCUUUCGAUACUGGGUAGCUUGAGUGCGAUAGAGGAUAACGGAAUUCCUGGUGUAGCGGUGAAAUGCGUUGAUAUCAGGAGGAACACCUGUGGCGAAGGCGGUUAUCUGGGUCGCAACUGACACUGAGGCACGAAAGCGUUGGGUAGCAAACGGG